UUUCCGUAGGUGAACCUGCGGAAGGAUCAUUAGAAGAAUGGAGAGAGAGAGGGGGAGGGAGAGAGGUAGGCCUCAACGUGCCAACCUGUCUCUGUCUCUCGAUCUCUCAAUCUAUCUAUCCAAGUGUGCGAGAAGAAGAAUUGAAUAGCUUUUUUUUUAUUUCGAACCCCAAACCCCAAACCCCUAAACAACAAACCGAAAAGAACCAAAAGAAACCAUAUAGAAAGAGAAUCAACAACUCUAGGCAAUGGAUACCUUGGUUCCC
rnacentral:misc_RNA from 1 species